rnacentral:rRNA from 1 species
UACGUAGGGGGCAAGCGUUGUCCGGAUUUAUUGGGCGUAAAGAGCGUGUAGGCGGCUUGGUAGGUCCGCUGUGAAAACUCGAGGCUCAACCUCGAGAUGUCGGCGGAAACCACUUGGCUAGAGUCCGGAAGAGGAGAGUGGAAUUCCUGGUGUAGCGGUGAAAUGCGCAGAUAUCAGGAAGAACACCUAUGGCGAAGGCAGCUCUCUGGGACGGUACUGACACUGAGGAACGAAAGCCAGGGGAGCAAACGGG